rnacentral:rRNA from 1 species
UGGGGAAUUUUGGACAAUGGGCGCAAGCCUGAUCCAGCAAUGCCGCGUGCAGGAUGAAGGCCUUCGGGUUGUAAACUGCUUUUGUACGGAACGAAAAGGCUCUGGUUAAUACCUGGGGCUCAUGACGGUACCGUAAGAACAAGCACCGGCUAACUACGUGCCAGCAGCCGCGGUAAUACGUUGGGUGCAAGCGUUAAUCGGAAUUACUGGGCGUAAAGCGUGCGCAGGCGGUUAUGUAAGACAGAUGUGAAAUCCCCGGGCUCAACCUGGGACCUGCAUUUGUGACUGCAUAGCUGGAGUGCGGCAGAGGGGGAUGGAAUUCCGCGUGUAGCAGUGAAAUGCGUAGAUAUGCGGAGGAACACCGAUGGCGAAGGCAAUCCCCUGGGCCUGCACUGACGCUCAUGCACGAAAGCGUGGGAGCAAACA